GCCCCGCCCCGCGCAAGAUGGCGGCCCUGGCCGGCCGGCGCUGGUCUCCGCUGUUGCGGUCCGUUGGGCCGAAGGAGGCCCGGGCCAGCUCCACCGCCGGCGGCGGCACCUGGGCCGGAAAAGACCGGGCAAGCGGCGGCUCCUCCCAGUACUCGCGCACGGCUCUGUACGACUUGCUGGACGUCCCGGUCACGGCCACGCAGGCGCAGAUCAAGGCGGCUUACUACCGGCAGAGUUUCCUCUACCACCCGGACCGCAACUCGGGCAGCGCGGAGGCGGCGGAGCGCUUCACGCGCAUCAGCCAGGCCUACCUGGUGCUGAGCAGCGCCGCCCUGCGCCGCCAGUACGACCGCGGCCUCCUGGGCGCCGAGGACGCGCGGGCCGCCGCAGGCGCGCCCCGCGCCCGCCCGCGAGCCGCGCCCACGCACGCCGCCACCUCCGGCCCCCAGCGCGCGCGCCCCGCGCCGGGCGGCCGACACAUGUUCGACUUCGACGCCUUCUACCGCGCGCACUAUGGCGAGCAGCUGGAGCGCGAGCAGCGGCUGCGGGCCCGGCGCGAGGCCCUGCGCAAAGACCGCGAGGCACGCGCCCGCUCCGGCCCGCGCUGGGACGACAGCAUAGUCCUGGGGCUGCUGCUGCUCAUCUGUUUCCUGGGCUUCUCGCACCUCAAGUAGCUGGGCCUGGGCCGGAGCACGCCCUGCCCGUGCAGCCCCAAGAGGAGGGAGGCGCCCUCCCGGAUCGUGCCAUAGCCACCCUGCCCUCGGGGCCUCCAGUCAUCCUCCAAAUGAACCACACCUGAAUGAAUCCACGGGUUGUGCCUUUGUUAUCAGCCCCCCAGGAACCCUGGGGAGCAGCAGGGUUGGCCUCUCCGAGAAGAUGGUAGAGUGUUGUUGGGUCACCACCGGCUGCAGGAGGUCUGCGUCCAGCCUCAGACAGUUCCUUACCUUUGGGACCCUGGGCAGGUCCCUCCUCUGGCAAAUGAGGGGGUUGAAGUCAGUGACCUCCGAGGACCCUGUGAAAGAUAGUGGCGUCCUCAGGGGUAUCUCCAGCCUCUGUGUCCCGUCCCUGUGUGGCUUUGCGCAAAGAACUCACACAUAACAGCUCUUGUGCAUGGUGGCGGCGGGAAAGCCCCUGGCCCGAUCAGACGGUCCUUUAAGUCCUCUGUACACUACUUUUUCCACUAAUGCUCUCCUCCGGUGUCUCAGCCUGGUCUGGAAGAACGACUCUGCCCACUUCUGUCUCCGGAGACAGAAAGGCUUCAAGUAGAGGCCUGUGUACUGUCCUAGAGCCAAGUUCAGAGAGCUUCAUUCUGGCCAGCCACAGGAUGCCCAGUUCUUCAGCCAUGACAACUCAGGAGACCAAGCGUCAGAUGCCCGGGAUUCGAGCCCCAGCUACAGUGCUGUGUACCCUUGGGCAGCUUCUUUUAAUCCUAUCCAAUGGGAACAGUAUUGCUGACGCUACUUCUCAGGGUAGUGAUGAAAACAGAAAUAUAAACCAGAAAGUGUUAUAUAAAUGUAACUUAUUGUAAGGGGUGAUAAACUAAUAGGGAAAGAUCAAGAGAGGGGAUGAUGGAUGGAGCUUAAAGCCCUGGAAGAUGUGGGUUAAAGGGUUCUGUUCCUCACCCCCUUCCCUGUCAUUUCUGUAUAUGUAUCCACAGUGCCUCGCAUGGUUCCUGGCAUGUAGGCACUUAAUAAAUCCUUUUUGU